AUACUUGCUUCAGAAGUAUAUAUACCAAAAUUGGGACGAUACAGAGAAGAUUAACAUGACCUAACCUAAACUUAAACCUCAUCUAACCUAAAUCUGCGGAAUGAUGACGCGCAAAAUCGCGAAGCGUUCCACAUUAAA
rnacentral:snRNA from 1 species